CCUUGGCCAAAACAGCCGAGUAAGUACUGAGCUUGAACAUAUACAACUGCUGUCUGAUCUUAGGAUGGAGACCCCAAUCGAACUUUCUUACCAUCCUGCCUUCAUCCAUCAUGCUCUCAGGGGAAUACCGGCCCAACCCUAGGAACUUUUGAGUAUAUUCUGAUACAGUCAUGUCCCCCUGGACCAAGUAUGCAAACUCUAUUUCUUUCAGAUGUCGGAGAUGCUCUGGAAGGUACUCUACAUGAAAGACUAUCAAGAAUUAUUCUCAAGUGACUGGAACGGGUAGGGUGGCCUGCUUGAGUUGCCACUAGCGGUCUGCCUCUCCCACCAACAUGUAGAUAGCAAG
rnacentral:lncRNA from 1 species